rnacentral:rRNA from 1 species
GGGUUUGAUUAUGGCUCAGAUUGAACGCUGGCGGCAGGCCUAACACAUGCAAGUCGAACGGUAACAGGAAGCAGCUUGCUGCUUUGCUGACGAGUGGCGGACGGGUGAGUAAUGUCUGGGAAACUGCCUGAUGGAGGGGGAUAACUACUGGAAACGGUAGCUAAUACCGCAUAACGUCGCAAGACCAAAGAGGGGGACCUUCGGGCCUCUUGCCAUCGGAUGUGCCCAGAUGGGAUUAGCUAGUAGGUGGGGUAACGGCUCACCUAGGCGACGAUCCCUAGCUGGUCUGAGAGGAUGACCAGCCACACUGGAACUGAGACACGGUCCAGACUCCUACGGGAGGCAGCAGUGGGGAAUAUUGCACAAUGGGCGCAAGCCUGAUGCAGCCAUGCCGCGUGUAUGAAGAAGGCCUUCGGGUUGUAAAGUACUUUCAGCGGGGAGGAAGGGAGUAAAGUUAAUACCUUUGCUCAUUGACGUUACCCGCAGAAGAAGCACCGGCUAACUCCGUGCCAGCAGCCGCGGUAAUACGGAGGGUGCAAGCGUUAAUCGGAAUUACUGGGCGUAAAGCGCACGCAGGCGGUUUGUUAAGUCAGAUGUGAAAUCCCCGGGCUCAACCUGGGAACUGCAUCUGAUACUGGCAAGCUUGAGUCUCGUAGAGGGGGGUAGAAUUCCAGGUGUAGCGGUGAAAUGCGUAGAGAUCUGGAGGAAUACCGGUGGCGAAGGCGGCCCCCUGGACGAAGACUGACGCUCAGGUGCGAAAGCGUGGGGAGCAAACAGGAUUAGAUACCCUGGUAGUCCACGCCGUAAACGAUGUCGACUUGGAGGUUGUGCCCUUGAGGCGUGGCUUCCGGAGCUAACGCGUUAAGUCGACCGCCUGGGGAGUACGGCCGCAAGGUUAAAACUCAAAUGAAUUGACGGGGGCCCGCACAAGCGGUGGAGCAUGUGGUUUAAUUCGAUGCAACGCGAAGAACCUUACCUGGUCUUGACAUCCACGGAAGUUUUCAGAGAUGAGAAUGUGCCUUCGGGAACCGUGAGACAGGUGCUGCAUGGCUGUCGUCAGCUCGUGUUGUGAAAUGUUGGGUUAAGUCCCGCAACGAGCGCAACCCUUAUCCUUUGUUGCCAGCGGUCCGGCCGGGAACUCAAAGGAGACUGCCAGUGAUAAACUGGAGGAAG